AAAGAUUUAUCAUUGAUAUGCAAACAAUUUAUUUAACCAUAACUUAAAUUUUCACUAGAAAAAUUAAAAUUAAUCUGCAUCCACGGAUUGCUCGGGUCUCAUUCUAGUUAAAGUAAAUACAACAUAUGUUUUUGAUCAGGGAAAUACGGACAUGAGGAUUAUUUGACUGUUCUUCCUAUGAGUUCCAGGCCAAUUGAUGACUUGAUAACUCUCUCAAAUACGUUCAAACAACUUUUCAUUUUGGCCCUUGAUUGUUAGUCUGUUU
rnacentral:lncRNA from 1 species